UACGUAGGGGGCGAGCGUUGCCCGGAUUCAUUGGGCGUAAAGGGCGCGCAGGCGGCCCGGCGCGUCGCGCGUGAAAUCCCCCGGCUCAACCGGGGGGGGUCGCGCGAUACGGCCGGGCUGGAGCGAGGUAGGGGGCAGCGGAAUUCCCGGUGUAGUGGUGGAAUGCGUAGAUAUCGGGAGGAACACCCGUGGCGAAGGCGGCUGCCUGGACCUCCGCUGACGCUCAGGCGCGAAAGCGUGGGGAGCGAUCCGG
rnacentral:rRNA from 1 species